rnacentral:rRNA from 1 species
CCUACGGGUGGCAGCAGUGGGGAAUAUUGCACAAUGGGGGAAACCCUGAUGCAGCGCCGCCGCGUGAGUGCAGAAGUAUUUCGGUACGUAAAGCUCUAUCAGCAGGGAAGAAAAUGACGGUACCUGCCUAAGAAGCCCCGGCUAACUACGUGCCAGCAGCCGCGGUAAUACGUAGGGGGCAAGCGUUAUCCGGAUUUACUGGGUGUAAAGGGCGCGUAGACGGCAGCUCAAGUCUGGAGUGAAAUCCCAUGGCUUAACCAUGGAACUGCUUUGGAAACUGUGCAGCUAGAGUGCAGGAGAGGUAAGCGGAAUUCCUAGUGUAGCGGUGAAAUGCGUAGAUAUUAGGAGGAACACCAGUGGCGAAGGCGGCUUACUGGACUGUAACUGACGUUGAGGCUCGAAAGCGUGGGGAGCAAACAGGAUUAGAUACCCUUGUAGUC